rnacentral:rRNA from 1 species
UCGAGCGGACUUUCAAGAAGCUUGCUUUUUGAAAGUUAGCGGCGGACGGGUGAGUAACACGUGGGCAACCUGCCUGCAAGACGGGGAUAACUCCGGGAAACCGGGGCUAAUACCGGAUAAUAUCUUCCUUCGCAUGAAGGAAGGUUGAAAGGCGGCGCAAGCUGCCGCUUGCAGAUGGGCCCGCGGCGCAUUAGCUAGUUGGUGAGGUAACGGCUCACCAAGGCGACGAUGCGUAGCCGACCUGAGAGGGUGAUCGGCCACACUGGGACUGAGACACGGCCCAGACUCCUACGGGAGGCAGCAGUAGGGAAUCUUCCGCAAUGGACGAAAGUCUGACGGAGCAACGCCGCGUGAGCGAAGAAGGUCUUCGGAUCGUAAAGCUCUGUUGUCAGGGAAGAACAAGUACCGUUCGAACAGGGCGGUACCUUGACGGUACCUGACCAGAAAGCCACGGCUAACUACGUGCCAGCAGCCGCGGUAAUACGUAGGUGGCAAGCGUUGUCCGGAAUUAUUGGGCGUAAAGCGCGCGCAGGCGGUCUCUUAAGUCUGAUGUGAAAGCCCACGGCUCAACCGUGGAGGGUCAUUGGAAACUGGGAGACUUGAGUGCAGAAGAGGAGAGCGGAAUUCCACGUGUAGCGGUGAAAUGCGUAGAGAUGUGGAGGAACACCAGUGGCGAAGGCGGCUCUCUGGUCUGUAACUGACGCUGAGGCGCGAAAGCGUGGGGAGCGAACAGGAUUAGAUACCCUGGUAGUCCACGCCGUAAACGAUGAGUGCUAAGUGUUAGAGGGCUUCCACCCUUUAGUGCUGCAGCUAACGCAUUAAGCACUCCGCCUGGGGGAGUACGGCCGCAAGGCUGAAACUCAAAGGAAUUGACGGGGGCYCGCACAAGCGGUGGAGCAUGUGGUUUAAUUCGAAGCAACGCGAAGAACCUUACCAGGUCUUGACAUCCUUCGCUACCUCUAGAGAUAGAGGGUUCCCCUUCGGGGGACGGAGUGACAGGUGGUGCAUGGUUGUCGUCAGCUCGUGUCGUGAGAUGUUGGGUUAAGUCCCGCAACGAGCGCAACCCUUGACCUUAGUUGCCAGCAUUCAGUUGGGCACUCUAAGGUGACUGCCGGUGACAAACCGGAGGAAGGUGGGGAUGACGUCAAAUCAUCAUGCCCCUUAUGACCUGGGCUACACACGUGCUACAAUGGAUGGUACAAAGGGUCGCGAAACCGCGAGGUGGAGCCAAUCCCAAAAAACCAUUCUCAGUUCGGAUUGCAGGCUGCAACUCGCCUGCAUGAAGCCGGAAUCGC